ACUCAUACGGGAGGCAUCAGUGGGGAAUAUUGCACAAUGGGCGCAAGCCUGAUGCAGCCAUGCCGCGUGUGUGAAGAAGGCCUUCGGGUUGUAAAGCACUUUCAGCGAGGAGGAAGGUGGUGAACUUAAUACGUUCAUCAAUUGACGUUACUCGCAGAAGAAGCACCGGCUAACUCCUGCCAGCAGCCGCGGUAAUACGG
rnacentral:rRNA from 1 species